rnacentral:rRNA from 1 species
CCUACGGGAGGCUGCAGUGAGGAAUAUUGGUCAAUGGGCGCGAGCCUGAACCAGCCAAGUAGCGUGAAGGAUGACUGCCCUACGGGUUGUAAACUUCUUUAUAAAGGAAUAAAGUGAGGCACGUGUGCCUUUUUGUAUGUACUUUAUGAAUAAGGAUCGGCUAACUCCGUGCCAGCAGCCGCGGUAAUACGGAGGAUCCGAGCGUUAUCCGGAUUUAUUGGGUUUAAAGGGAGCGUCGAUGGGUUGUUAAGUCAGUUGUGAAGGUUUGCGGCUCAACCGUAAAAUUGCAAUUGAUACGGGCAGACUUGAGUACAGUUGAGGGAGGGCGAAGUCGUGGUGUAGCGGUGAAAUGCUUAGAUAUCACGAAGAACUCCGAUUGCGAAGGCAGCCUACUAAACUGCCACUGACAUUGAUGCUCGAAAGUGUGGGUAUCAAACAGGAUUAGAUACCCUUGUAGUC